rnacentral:rRNA from 1 species
ACGGAAGGCAGCAGCUAAGAAUAUUCCGCAAUGGACGAAAGUCUGACGGAGCGACGCCGCGUGGAUGAUGAAGGCCGAAAGGUUGUAAAAUCCUUUUGAACUGGAAGAAUAAGCAGUGCAGGUGAUGGCAUUGAGGUGACGGUACAGUUUGAAUAAGCAACGGCUAAUUACGUGCCAGCAGCCGCGGUAACACGUAAGUUGCGAGCGUUGUUCGGAAUUAUUGGGCGUAAAGGGCAUGUAGGCGGUUAUCUAAGCUUGGUGUGAAAGGCAGGGGCUCAACUCCUGGACUGCAUCGAGAACUGGAUGACUAGAGUUACUGAAGUGGAAUCAGAAUUCCAGGUGUAGGGGUGAAAUCUGUAGAUAUCUGGAAGAAUACCAAUGGCGAAGGCAGGUUCCAGGCAGAUAACUGACACUGAGGUGCGAAGGUGCGGGGAGCAAACAGGAUUAGAUACCCUGGUA